UAAUACGUAGGCAGCGAGCGUUGUUCGGAAUUACUGGGCGUAAAGAGUGUGUAGGCGGUGCUCUAAGUUUGGUGUGAAAUCUCCUGGCUUAACUGGGAGGGUGCGCCGAAAACUGGAGUGCUCGAGCGUGGGAGAGGAAAGCGGAAUUCCUGGUGUAGCGGUGAAAUGCGUAGAUAUCAGGAGGAACACCUGUGGUGUAGACGGCUUUCUGGACCAUAGCUGACGCUGAGACACGAAAGCGUGGGUAGCAAACAGGAUUAGAUACCCUGGUAGUCCACGCCCUAAACGAUGCAUACUUGGUGUCGGCCAUUCAGUUGGUCGGUGCCGGAGCUAACGCGUUAAGUAUGCCGCCUGGGGAGUACGGUCGCAAGGCU
rnacentral:rRNA from 1 species